CAUCCAUAAUUUAAAAAUAAAGUAUUUUGUAUUUGGUGAGUCCGCCAAAUUAGACACAGUAGGGAUGCGUGAACUGAACAAUUUCUGCUGAUCAUUCAAAAUGUAACGAGAACUUUUGGGUGUCAGGGAAAAUGUAUGGAGUUGAAAGUACAUUAUUUUCUUUAGGAAUGUAGUGGUGUAGAAGUGGAAGUUGUCAAAUAUCAAAAGUAAAGUACAGCUACCCCCAAAAACUACUGAUGGAGCACUUAAUUAUAUAUACUUAAGUACUUUACACCACUAAUUGCAGAGAAUACUGACUGAAGAUGUUCUUCCCUACGAGGCCCAUGAGACUGUGUAGGGAUGUGAUUUGAAUAGGACUGUGACUGAACGAGUGGGAUGUUGUUAUUUAUCUAUUUUUGUAUUUUGUUUUGAGGUCGUUGUUCCCCCUCCCCUUUUCCGUAAAGGAAAUGUAUUUUCUUCUACAGUUUAUUAACCUUACAGUAGGUGGCGGCAGACGCCUUAUAUUUGUGUAUAUGUCAGUAUACCAGAGAACAAGAUGACGCUGAUGCGCCGUCGUAGUGGGGAACAGGAAGUUCCGGGUGAAACGACAGAACUGUGCUGUUGUGUCGAUAGUGGUUGUGUCCGUUUCAAAUGUAUCAUUGUAGACCGACUCAGAUUAAGUCUGAGGCUGUUAACAUCAACAGUGAAGACAAACCAAUCAUGUCACUCUCCUUCCACACUGAGUCCAAACCUACAGUCACUGGGUCCUUAUUGUGACAGUGAGCCCAGUUUGCACUGCAGGAUCCAGAGAUGGCAUCAGUGAAGCUGGAAGACUGCAGUCAAACACUGGAGCUGAAUUACAACAUUAAAGAUGAAGAAGAGGAGGAGAACAUUAGGAAAACUGUUAGUCAUGGAGACCAUGUUGAGACAUUCUCCACAUCCAGAGAGCAAGAGCAGGAAGAUCAGAGAGCCACGAGGUCUCAUCACUGCCCACAUUGUGAAGAGAUAUUCCCAUUUCUAUCAAAGCUAAAAAUACACCUACAAAUACACACAGGAGAGAAGCCUUACUCCUGCUCUGAAUGUGGAAAAUGUUUUAAAACAUCAAAUGUGCUAAAGGUUCAUCAGAGAACACACACAGGAGAGAAGCCUUUCUUCUGCCCUGACUGUGGAACUAGUUUCUCUCAACUUUCCCACUUAAAAGCACAUGAACGUAUACAUACAGGGGAGAAGCCAUACUCCUGCUCUGACUGUGGGAAAUGUUUUAAAACAUCAAAUGUGCUAAAGGUUCAUCAGAGAACACACACAGGAGAGAAGCCUUUCUUCUGCCCUGACUGUGGAACUAGUUUCUCUCAAAUUUCCCACUUAAAAGCACAUGAACGUAUACAUACAGGUGAAAAGCCUUAUGUCUGCUCUGAUUGUGGGGCGAGUUUCUCUCAUCUGGGCACCUUAAAAACACACCAACGUAUACAUACAGGGGAGAAGCCUUACUCCUGCUCUGACUGUGGAAAAUGCUUCACAACGUCAACUGAUCUAAAAGUUCAUCAGAGAACACACACCGGAGAGAAGCCUUACUCCUGCUCUGACUGUGGAAAAUGUUUUAAAACAUCAAAAGAGCUAAAGGUUCACCAGAGAACACACACAGGAGAGAAGCCUUAUUCCUGCUCUGACUGUGGAAAAUGUUUUAAAACAUCAAAUAAGCUUAAAGUUCAUCAGAGAACACACACAGGAGAGAAGCCUUACGUCUGCUCUGACUGUGGAACUAGUUUCUCGCAACUUUCCAACUUAAGAUCACAUGAACGUAUACACACAGGGGAGAAGCCAUACUCCUGCUCUGACUGUGGAAAAUGCUUCAAAACAUCUACUAAGCUAAAAGUUCAUCAGAGAAUGCGUGCAGGAGAAAAGUCUUACUCCUGUUCUGACUGUGGGGUGGACUCCAAUCAAGUUGUAGAAACAUCUCAAGGAUGAUCAAUGGAAACAGGAUGCACUUGAGCUGAAUUUUGAGUCUCAGAGGAAAGGGUCUGUGUCACGAAUAUUACCGAAGGUGGCUCCCCUUCUUGUUCGGGUGGCGCUCGGCGGUCGUCGUCGCCGGUCUACUAGCUGCCACCGAUCCUUUGUUCCGUGUUCGUUUGGUUGUGUCUAAUUGGUUUCACCUGUUCAUUGUUUGGUUGUUAGGGUGGGGUUAUUUAAGUUCGUGUCGCUCGCUUCUGUUUGUGCGGGCUUGUUCUUCUGUACUUGUGAGAGGUGUUAGUGUUUUGUUGGGUUUUCUCGCUGUCCUGGUAUUUUACCAAAGGGUACUAUUUUGUUUUUAUAGUUACGCCUGUGUUGGGUAUAACUAUUUUGUUCCUUUGAUUUUGGACAUUAAAGCGUGUUUUUCCCUGCAUCCCGCUCUCUGCGCCUGACUCCACACCCAUUCACUCAUUGAGCGUUACAGUCUGAAUAUUUAUGCAAAUAAGGUAUUCAUUUGUAUAAAUUUAUGUGUAUAUUGAUGAGGGGUAAAACAUGCAUUUAAUGAAUUUUUGUAUAAGCCUGUAAUGUAACAAUAUGUGGAAAAAGUCAAGGGGUCUUGUAUAAUGCCCUGUAUAUGCUUCAAACUACAAUUUAAGGAUCUGAAGUGGUAAACACAAUGGCAUAAUGGAAAAUGCAUGUCCAACGGUUAUCUCUGUAUGAGUCACAUUAAAACACUAGGUAGGGCAGUGGUUAUCUGUAUUAGUAUUAUCUCUGUAUUACCCACAUUAAAACACCUAGGUAGAGCAGUGGUUAUCUCUGUAUUAGUAUUAUCUCUGUAUUACCCACAUUAAAACACCUAGGUAGAGCAGUGGUUCUCUCGGUAUUAGUAUUAUCUCUGUAUUACCCACAUUAAAACACCUAGGUAGAAUAGAAAGGACAGAGCAUGUAUCUUUGUAACACACAGGUGUUUCAUCUCCACACUGGGAUGAUUUUAACAGUGCAACGCCUCUCAGGCCUCAUGCCUCUCAGGUAGGAGGGUACCAGAAGUAAAAUAAUAAUAAACACAAAACUAAUGAAGGAGCACACAGUCACCAACAAUAUAUCCCUGUUGUCAAUACUUUCAACUGGCUCAGCUCGCUGUUACAGUACAGCACCACCAAAUUCCAUGUAUUAAUAAGUAACCAUCUGUCUUUUGUAACCAGAAAAACGUAACAUAAUACUGUUUUGAGAGUCCCUGAUUUAUAUUUACUAUGUUACACCUAGUCUAUGAGACGAGGCUACACCUUAACCUACAUUAUAAACAGCAGGUCAAGGUGUGUUUUCCCUUCAGCAUCUGCAUGUGGCAUAAGCUCACCCACCUCACAGCAUGAAUCUAAAAUGGUUAACCUUGGCUGUGAGUGAUGGGAAAAAAUCUGACUACGGCAAUUACUUGAAUAAUUCAAUGGAUGUUUUGUUUACAGACUUGAUGAGUAAAUUGUCUUGUUUAAAAAAAAACGUGACUUCGCAAUGGGGCCAUCAAUAGGAAUUGGGCCGUGCUUCAGCCGAACUGCAGUACGGAAAAUGCCCUCUGAGCACAGUGGAAAGCAUGCUUACAGACUGGAAGCCUGGCCCCAUGAUCCGUAAGAGGUGUAAUUGCAGACCGCAAUUAGGGGCGUUCUCUGAUAUCGGGUGUUUCAUGAUAUCUACUUUACACCAAUUGAUGCUCCCCAUUGGUCCGUGGCCGUUUCUUUUGCGUUGGGACAACAGUUGUUGACAUCUGUUACAUUGUAGCUAACCCUAAUCCUAGUCUCCUAACCUGCCACGGUAAUUCACCUAACCUGCCACGUUAAUUAUCCUAACCUGCAUGGUAAACAAAUACCUAACCCUCACCCUUUUCCUAACCUUAACCUCAGUCUCCUAACCUGCCACGGUAAUUCACCUAACCUGCAACGUUAAUUAUCCUAACCUGUAAGGGGCACACUCCAACAUUCAGACAUAGCCUGCGUUCCUAAAUUCGCUCUGGCUAUAUACUCCGAUUUCAGACCACUCUGGUCUGAGUGCCAGAGGGAAGAAUAAUUGAUGAAAAACAAACGCUCAACACCCCUUGAAUAUGGCCGGUGUCAGUAAACGUCGGCAAAAAAAGCGUAAUUAAAUUGUUGCCUGUAGCACAGCACUGGAUAACAUGAACACAGCCUAACCAGUUCUGCUAAGGCGAGUGAAAUGGUCAGAGUUCUCUCAUUUGUACUGAAAGUAGCUAGCAAGCUAGCCAAUGUUAACCAGUUAUCUUGGAUGCUUGUAUUUAGGAAUGUAGUGGAGAAAAAGUGGAAGUUGUCAAAACAUAUCAAAAGUAAAGUACAGAUACCCCAAAACUGCAUACAUUUUCCCUGACACCCAAAAGUACUUAAAAUAUUUGUACUUAAGUACUUUACAUCACUGAUUGCGGGGAAUACUGACUGAAGAUGUUCCUCCCUACGAGGCCCAUGAGACUGUAUAGGGAUGUGAUUUGAAUAGGACUGUGACUGAACGAGUGGGGUGUUGUUAUUUAUCAAUUUAUGUAUUUGGUUUUGAUGUCGUUGUUCCCCCUCCCCUUUUCCGCAAAGGAAAUGUAUUUUCUUCUACAGUUCACUAACCUUACAGUAGGUGGCGGCAGACAGGUUAUAUUUGUGUAAAUGUCAGUAUACCAGAGAUGAAGAUGACGCUGUUGCAUUGUCGAGGUGGGGAACAGGAAGUUCCGGGUCGAAUCGACAGAACGGUGCUGUUGUGUCGAUAGUGGUUGUGUCCGUUUCAAAUGUAUCAUUGUAGACCGACUCAGAUUAACUCUGAGGCCGUUAACAUCAAUAGUGAGGACAAACCCAGCCUGUCACUCUCCUUCCACACUGAGUCCAAACCUACAGUCACUGGGUCCUGAUUGUGACAGUGGAGCCCAGUUUGCACUGCAGGAUCCAGAGAUGGCAUCAGUGAAGCUGGAAGACUGCAGUCAAACACUGGAGCUGAAUGUAAACAUUAAAGAUGACGAAGAGGAGGAGAAGAUUAGGACAACUGUUAGUCAUGGUAAGAGCUGUUUCUAUCUAUAAGUUAUCUUCAUAUAUUAGACCUCCAUAAGUUAUGACCAGUCUAUUGCUAGGUUGAAUUCUGUAAUUCUGACAUCACACAUCCCUGAACAACUCAAGACUUCACAGUGAAGCAAAAACACUUUAAACUUGUAACGCAUGCCUUUGCCCACACAUUGUCUCAAGAACGUUGAAAAUGUUUAAUACCCUCAAUCACCAAGUUAGGCAUACCUCAUUUCAAAAUAGGCCAUGGCAUCAUCACUGUCAAUAUUGAAUUAUGAUUUGUUUGCUGCACAGAAUAUCAGAUCUCAACAACGAUUGGAGAAGUGUUGAACAUAACCAGUAGACUACCACAUCCUGAUGAUUUAUAUCUGAUACAUAUAUAU